rnacentral:rRNA from 1 species
AUUGAACGCUGGCGGCAGGCCUAACACAUGCAAGUCGAAUGGUAACAGGAAACAGCUUGCUGUUUCGCUGACGAGUGGCGGACGGGUGAGUAAUGUCUGGGAAACUGCCUGAUGGAGGGGAUAACUACUGGAAACGGUAGCUAAUACCGCAUAACGUCGCAAGACCAAAGAGGGGGACCUUCGGGCCUCUUGCCAUCAGAUGUGCCAGAUGGGAUUAGCUAGUAGGUGGGUAACGGCUCACCUAGGCGACGAUCCCUAGCUGGUCUGAGAGGAUGACCAGCCACACUGGAACUGAGACACGGUCCAGACUCCUACGGGAGGCAGCAGUGGGAAUAUUGCACAAUGGGCGCAAGCCUGAUGCAGCCAUGCCGCGUGUAUGAAGAAGGCC